rnacentral:rRNA from 1 species
AGCAGCCGCGGUAAUUCCAGCUCCAAUAGCGUAUAUUAAAGUUGCUGCAGUUAAAAAGCUCGUAGUUGAAUUUCGGGAUCAAUUUACUGGUCGUGCCUACGGUACGUACUGGUAUUGUUGGUUCCUCCUUUCUGAGGAGCCGCGAUGUCAUUAACUUGGUGUCGCGGGGAAUCAGGACUGUUACUUUGAAAAAAUUAGAGUGUUUAAAGCAGGCUAACGCUUGAAUACAUUAGCAUGGAAUAAUGAAAUAGGACGUUUGAUCCUAUUUUGUUGGUUUCUAGGGUCGACGUAAUGAUUAAUAGGGAUAGUUGGGGGCAUUAGUAUUCAAUUGUCAGAGGUGAAAUUCUUGGAUUUAUUGAAGACUAACUACUGCGAAAGCAUUUGCCAAGGAUGUUUUCAUUAAUCAAGAACGAAAGUUAGGGGAUCGAAGACGAUCAGAUACCGUCGUAGUCUUAACCAUAAACUAUGCCGACUAGGGAUCGGAUGAUGUUAAUUUUUUAAUGUACUCAUUCGGCGCCUUACGGGAAAA